rnacentral:rRNA from 1 species
AUACAGAGGGUGCUAGCGUUAAUCGGAAUUACUGGGCGUAAAGCGCGCGUAGGCGGCUUAUUAAGUCAGAUGUGAAAUCCCCGGGCUCAACCUGGGAACUGCAUCUGAUACUGGUAAGCUAGAGUUUUGGAGAGGGAAGUAGAAUUUCAGGUGUAGCGGUGAAAUGCAUAGAGAUCUGAAGGAAUACCAGUGGCGAAGGCGACUUCCUGGCCAAAAACUGACGCUGAGGUGCGAAAGCGUGGGUAGCAAACGGGAUUAGAAACCCCAGUAGUCC